GAUGAAGAACGUAGCGAAAUGCGAUACGUAGUGUGAAUUGCAGAAUUCAGUGAAUCAUCGAAUCUUUGAACGCACAUUGCACCUCUCGGUAUUCCGGGAGGUAUGCCUGUUCGAGCGUCAUUUGUACCCUCAAGCUCUGCUUGGUGUUGGGUGUUUGUUCCGCCUCUGUGUGUGACCUCGCCUCAAAACAAUUGGCAGCCGGCGUACUUGUUUCGGAGCGCAGCACAUUUUGCGAUCCAGAUCAACGUACAGCGGCAUCCAAGAAGCCUUAUUUAACGCUCUUGACCUCGGAUCAGGUAGGGAUACCCGCUGAACUUAAGCAUAUCAAUAAGCGGAGGA
rnacentral:misc_RNA from 1 species